CUGCUCUUUGUGCGGGAUUGUUUGUGUGACUAGUGUGCACGUUAGAGGUUAACGUGUUUCCUGUUCGUGGGUUUUUGCUGGACUGUUUUAGUCCCCGUGUUUGGGGCAUUUGUUUUUGUGUGCGCCCUGUGUUUUCGUGGGGUGGCUUAUGUUCGCCAUUUGUGCAUUAAAUAGCACUAUCCUGAACUAUCUGCUUCCUGCGCCUGACUUCGUACCCACUACACCCAGAUCAUUACAACCAGUCAAAGAUUCCGUCUCUCACAGUUGAAGUGUACCUAUGAUAAAAAUGACAGACCUCUACAUGCUUUGACCAAGACUCAGGAAUCAUCACCAGCAUCAGCCCAACAUAGAGAGGCACUGCACAGGACUAACCUCCCAGACUCAGGACACUGAACAGCCACCAACAGAAGAGAGAAGUGUUCUCUUUCAGACACUACUCAGUCAUUCCUCUACUGUUGUAUGUACACUCUACCAAUUAAAUAAAUUGCUAACAAGUAGCCCACCGAUACAGUUCACCCAACCCUUCAAUGAGGGAAUGCUUCUGAAUUUUGCAUGUGGAUAUGAGUCGUUAUACAGUAGAUUAAGAUUCCUUAGAGACCUUGGCUUUGCAUGUAAAAUCCUAGUGUUUCUGGCAUGAAAUGAUUUGUAUUACUAUCUCCCUCUCUCCGACAAAUAGACAAUGACUUGUAAGUGUUAAUUAAUUGUAAAAAAUAUUUAAAAAGUGAUAUUAUUUUACCUUUUAAUAGGCUGAAAAUAUUGUGUCCCAACUCUCAGGUACUGUAAAUGCUGUACAUACAUUUUGUAAAAAACGUGUCUACAGUGGUUUAUUUGUAUGUAUUACUGUGUUUGUUCUUUCCAAUUCAC
ensembl:lncRNA